rnacentral:lncRNA from 1 species
CGGCGGACUACCAACAAGGAGACAGCACCACCUAGUAAAUGCGACUGGCAGCGAGCUGGAAGACAGACGAGAGACAUAUUUAACCGUUCGUUUUUAGAUUUUUCUCGCUGAUAUUUCGCAUGAAGCAGUUUCCCUCUUGUUUCAGCCACAGAGACCGCGGUGAUGGAAGACGAGGAGAGGCAAAAGAAGCUGGAGGCCGGCAAAGCAAAGCUGUCAGUCCCAGCAAACAUGCGCCCUGCUGACAGCCGGGGGUUGGCUCGCCGGGGCUUAGCACAGCUACUGCUAGCCACAGACUCCUUUGUCAUCCUGCUUGUCUAACGUUACUCCGAUGUUUUAUUUUACUUUUCUGAAACGUGCAGUAGUGUGUACGCAAUGCCAACUUAAUCACCCACAAGUCAAGCCGCCACAUCGUUAUCAAAGGCUUAUUAACGCCACCUGAAGUGUGCCGGACAGGCUGGUGUAACAGGAUUUACAGGACAUAUCCCCACUAGCUAGCGCAAACAUUGCCCCACAUGUCAAAUUGGCGUGCUACAUUGGCUUUUUCAAUCAUCAGCAUCAACAUUUAGGUCAGGAGGACAACCCCCACCCAUCCAAUAACUGAUGUAAAACAAUGUUACUUGCUACAACAAGGGUAAUGCUUUUGCCUUGUAAACCUGGA